rnacentral:rRNA from 1 species
UAGGGAAUCUUCCACAAUGGACGCAAGUCUGAUGGAGCAACGCCGCGUGAGUGAAGAAGGUUUUCGGACCGUAAAGCUCUGUUGUUGGUGAAGAAGGAUAGAGGUAGUAACUGGCCUUUAUUUGACGGUAAUCAACCAGAAAGUCACGGCUAACUACGUGCCAGCAGCCGCGGUAGUACGUAGGUGGCAAGCGUUGUCCGGAUUUAUUGGGCGUAAAGCGAGCGCAGGCGGAAGAAUAAGUCUGAUGUGAAAGCCCUCGGCUUAACCGAGGAAUUGCAUCGGAAACUGUUUUUCUUGAGUGCAGAAGAGGAGAGUAGAACUCCAUGUGUAGCGGUGGAAUGCGUAGAUAUAUGGAAGAAUACCAGUGGCGAAGGCGGCUCUCUGGUCUGCAACUGACGCUGAGGCUCGAAAGCAUGGGUAGCGAACAGGAUUAGAUACCCUGGUAGUCCAUGCCGUAAACGAUGAGUGCUAAGUGUUGGGAGGCUUCCGCCUCUCAGUGCUGCGGCUAACGCAUUAAGCACUCCGCCUGGGGGAGUACGACCGCAAGGUUGA